GACGAACGCUGGCGGCGUGCCUAACACAUGCAAGUCCACGAGAAAGGGUAGCAAUAUCCCGAGUAAAGUGGCGCACGGGUGAGUAACGCGUAGGUAAUCUGCCUUCAGGACGGGGACAACCUCGAGAAAUCGAGGCUAAUACCCGAUGAUGUCCCGAUGUGGCAUCACAUUGGGACCAAAUAUUUCCCGCUUCGGCGGGAUAACGCCGGAAGUUGAGCCUGCGUCCCANAGGUAGUUGGUGAGGUAGAGGCUCACCAAGCCUGCGAU
rnacentral:rRNA from 1 species